rnacentral:rRNA from 1 species
GACGAACGCUGGCGGCGUGCUUAACACAUGCGAGUCGAACGGAAAGGCCCUGCUUUUGUGGGGUGCUCGAGUGGCGAACGGGUGAGUAACACGUGAGUAACCUGCCCUUGACUUUGGGAUAACUUCAGGAAACUGGGGCUAAUACCGGAUAGGAGCUCCUGCUGCAUGGUGGGGGUUGGAAAGUUUCGGCGGUUGGGGAUGGACUCACGGCUUAUCAGCUUGUUGGUGGGGUAGUGGCUUACCAAGGCUUUGACGGGUAGCCGGCCUGAGAGGGUGACCGGCCACAUUGGGACUGAGAUACGGCCCAGACUCCUACGGGAGGCAGCAGUGGGGAAUAUUGCACAAUGGGCGGAAGCCUGAUGCAGCAACGCCGCGUGCGGGAUGACGGCCUUCGGGUUGUAAACCGCUUUCGCCUGUGACGAAGCGUGAGUGACGGUAAUGGGUAAAGAAGCACCGGCUAACUACGUG